UACGGGGGGAGCAAGCGUUAUUCGGAUUCACUGGGCGUAAAGCGUGCGCAGGCGGUUUUGUAAGCCAGAUGUGAAAUCCCCGGGCUUAACCUGGGAAUGGCAUUUGGGACUGCAAGGCUUGAGUGCGGCAGAGGAGACUGGAAUUCCUGGUGUAGCAGUGAAAUGCGUAGAUAUCAGGAGGAAUACCGAUGGCGAAGGCAGGUCUCUGGGCUGACACUGACGCUCAUGCACGAAAGCGUGGGGAGCAAACAGG
rnacentral:rRNA from 1 species